rnacentral:rRNA from 1 species
UUUGACCUGAAAUCAGGUAGGGCUACCCGCUGAACUUAA